AUAGCGAAGAGGUCACACCCGUUCCCAUGCCGAACACGGAAGUUAAGCUCUUCAGCGCCGAUGGUAGUUGGGGGUUUCCCCCUGUGAGAGUAGGACGCCGCCAAGC
rnacentral:rRNA from 1 species